CAGCCGCCGCGGUAAUACAGAGGGUGCGAGCGUUAAUCGGAUUUACUGGGCGUAAAGCGUGCGUAGGCGGCUUCUUAAGUCGGAUGUGAAAUCCCUGAGCUUAACUUAGGAAUUGCAUUCGAUACUGGGAAGCUAGAGUAUGGGAGAGGAUGGUAGAAUUCCAGGUGUAGCGGUGAAAUGCGUAGAGAUCUGGAGGAAUACCGAUGGCGAAGGCAGCCAUCUGGCCUAAUACUGACGCUGAGGUACGAAAGCAUGGGGAGCAAACAGGAUUAGAUACCUCCGUAGUCCCUGUCUCUUAUAC
rnacentral:rRNA from 1 species